GUCAGGUUCAUUGAGCGGGAAGCAUAUGCCACCUCCGAAGGAGGCGUGGGUUCGAAUCCCACAUCUGACA
rnacentral:tRNA from 1 species